rnacentral:rRNA from 1 species
CCUACGGGAGGCAGCAGUGGGGAAUAUUGCACAAUGGGGGAAACCCUGAUGCAGCGACGCCGCGUGAGUGAAGCAGUAAUUCGUUAUGUAAAGCUCUAUCAGCAGGGAAGAAAAUGACGGUACCUGAGUAAGAAGCCCCGGCUAACUACGUGCCAGCAGCCGCGGUAAUACGUAGGGGGCAAGCGUUAUCCGGAUUUACUGGGUGGAAAGGGAGCGUAGACGGCAGUGCAAGUCUGGAGUGAAAGGCGGGGGCUCAACCCCCGGACUGCUCUGGAAACUGUACGGCUGGAGUGCAGGAGAGGUAAGUGGAAUUCCUAGUGUAGCGGUGAAAUGCGUAGAUAUUAGGAGGAACACCAGUGGCGAAGGCGGCUUACUGGACUGUAACUGACGUUGAGGCUCGAAAGCGUGGGGAGCAAACAGGAUUAGAUACCCUUGUAGUC